rnacentral:rRNA from 12 species
GAGCGGCGAACGGGUGAGUAACACGUGAGUAACCUGCCCCUGACUCUGGGAUAAGCCUGGGAAACUGGGUCUAAUACCGGAUAUGACAUCUACCCGCAUGGGUGGGAUGUGGAAAGUUUUUUCGGUUGGGGAUGGGCUCGCGGCCUAUCAGCUUGUUGGUGGGGUAGUGGCCUACCAAGGCGACGACGGGUAGCCGGCCUGAGAGGGCGACCGGCCACACUGGGACUGAGACACGGCCCAGACUCCUACGGGAGGCAGCAGUGGGGAAUAUUGCGCAAUGGGCGGAAGCCUGACGCAGCGACGCCGCGUGGGGGAUGACGGCCUUCGGGUUGUAAACCUCUUUCAGCAGGGACGAAGUUGACGUGUACCUGUAGAAGAAGCGCCGGCUAACUACGUGCCAGCAGCCGCGGUAAUACGUAGGGCGCAAGCGUUGUCCGGAAUUAUUGGGCGUAAAGAGCUCGUAGGUGGCUUGUUGCGUCUGCCGUGAAAGCCCGUGGCUUAACUGCGGGUCUGCGGUGGAUACGGGCAGGCUAGAGGCUGGUAGGGGCAAGCGGAAUUCCU